rnacentral:tRNA from 1 species
UGCGGCUGGGGGCCGGGGCGGGCUUGGGCGCGUAGCGGGCGGCGCGGACGGCCAGGUCGCGCAGGUGCUGGUGCUCGGCGUCGUCGAGCUGCAG